rnacentral:rRNA from 1 species
CCCUUUGUGAACAUACCUAACUGUUGCUUCGGCGGGCAGGGGGUCCCCCCGGGGACGCCCUCCCGGCCCCGCCCCCCUACCAGGGGACGUGGCGCCCGCCGGAGGAUACCUAACUCUAUUUUAACGACGUUUCUUCUGAGUGGCACAAGCAAAUAAUUAAAACUUUUAACAACGGAUCUCUUGGUUCUGGCAUCGAUGAAGAACGCAGCGAAAUGCGAUAAGUAAUGUGAAUUGCAGAAUUCAGUGAAUCAUCGAAUCUUUGAACGCACAUUGCGCCCGCCAGCAUUCUGGCGGGCAUGCCUGUUCGAGCGUCAUUUCAACCCUCAAGCUCUGCUUGGUGUUGGGGCCCUACGGUUGACGUAGGCCCUCAAAGGUAGUGGCGGACCCUCCCGGAGCCUCCUUUGCGUAGUAACUAACGUCUCGCAUCGGGAUCCGGAGGGACUCUUGCCGUAAAACCCCC